AGUUUGAUCCUGGCUCAGAACGAACGCUGGCGGCAGGCCUAACACAUGCAAGUCGAACGCACCUUCGGGUGAGUGGCAGACGGGUGAGUAACACGUGGGAACCUUCCCUUCGGUACGGAAUAGCUCCGGGAAACUGGAAUUAAUACCGUAUACGCCCCUUGGGGGAAAGAUUUAUCGCCGAAGGAUGGGCCCGCGUCGGAUUAGCUAGUUGGUAGGGUAAUGGCCUACCAAGGCAACGAUCCGUAGCUGGUCUUAGAGGAUGAUCAGCCACACUGGGACUGAGACACGGNCCAGACUCCUACGGGAGGCAGCAGUGGGGAAUCUUAGACAAUGGGCGAAAGCCUGAUCCAGCCAUGCCGCGUGAGUGACGAAGGCCUUAGGGUUGUAAAACUCUUUUGGCGGGGACGAUAAUGACGGUACCCGCAGAAUAAGCCCCGGCUAACUUCGUGCCAGCAGCCGCGGUAAUACAAGGGC
rnacentral:rRNA from 1 species